CGUUUACCUGCAGACAUGGAUUGAUUUCUAGAAAUACUACCCUUAAUAUUGGGGAUGAGAAAUGGCGAGAGAGAGGGAGGGAGGGUGCUUCCCACUGGUCAAGAAAGAGCAACACAGAGGGGAGGGAGGGCCCUAGAAAAUGACUUUCACCAAAGCUCUGCUUAUUUUAAGCCACAUUCAGAUAGAGUCUCACGGUCUUUCUUCCCAACCAUCUCUUUGAUUUUUCAUAGUGGACAAGGACUAAAAUCUCUCCAAGCCUAAGAAAAUUCAAGCCCAGACAAGGAGAAGCCUCCAGAGGCCCUUUUAAGAGCUGCUUGUCCCUGGACACUCCCUCCUCUCAACUGCAGUUCCCAUCCUUCCCAUAAUUCUAACAACAGAGAAGACCUUGGGGGUGAAUCUGGCAUCUUCUGAGACACUAGAAGAUGACUAUGAAUAUUUCAACUUGAUCUAGGCUGUCCAUUCGGUUCCAAAGAACUCAAGCACUCCACACCACAGGAGACACUCAACUUUUCCUAAGAACUAUCAAAGAAACUGCCAACUAGAAGAUUCAAACUCUUUUUUUUUUCACUACCCAUGCAUUCUGCCUAUACUCCAGUUAGCAAGAGAAAGUCAAAGGGGAAAGGCUUCAGUUAAGGAGGUUAAGUCCUCUGGUUUGGAAACUUCUCCAUACCAGCACCCUGCCAAGAUGGUAAUGUGUUGCUUAUUCUCAUGUCAGUUUCCAAGGAUGGGGGCAAAUCUUAAGUGGCAACAUUCUGACAGAUGUAAUCCUUUUUCAAACACAUACCUCCGCUAAUGUAGACAAAUGCAAUGCAAAAAAAAUGGAAACAGCAACCAGAGGAGAAAAACUCUGCCUUCUGUCAACAGCACCCUCAGGCAAAAACACACAGCAAAGCAUUAAGUAAUUUAAUCUCCAAAAGGGAGCCUUCUGGCAUUAAGGCUACUCCGAAGUCCAAGGGGCCAGGCCACACCCUGUGCAAUGAGCAAUGGGCUUAGUGGCCAGGAACCCACAAGCUCAGAUGGAAAGCCAGGGAAAUACCCAGGGCCCAGUGGGUCUUCCCCAGAGCCAAGGCGCUGAAUGCUGCUGACCUGGGGGAUGCCUUCCCUGCAUGGGCCUCAGGUCAGAGGCUGGACAGUUGGAGGCUCUGGGUGGAAGUGCCCCUCCUUCCAUGGCUCUUUGGGAGAUCAGCACAAGAAGCAAGCUGAACCCUGAUGCUAAUCAGGCAGCUUUGAGUGAAGGGUGACGAGGGCCGGCGCCGACUCCACUCUGCCCGCCCAGGCCGCCAUCCUGGCCACAGAUCUCACUUAGCGAUAAGCAGGGGACUGCGCAGGCUCCCUACUACUCUUAUCUUGCAUGCACUGAUGUGCUCAGGAAGAGGGGACCAGGGAACCCUGCUCCCAGAGCCUUAUGGCAGAAGCCGGGGUGCUUUGCCGGGCUCCCUACACCCCCUACUCACCGCUGCAAGGAGACAGAGCCCUCCUUCGCCAGCUCCUCCAAGUCUGCCAACCCCCGCCUCCCUCGGCGUGCUCCCUCAUGCAGCUUUCAUUAACUCCCUCGGCCGGCAAUUUCCAUCCAUUUGACGACAGAUUAGAAGUGGAAUUCAAAAAGAAAGUCACUUGACCUCCCAUAAUGUGCUUCUCUUAAUUACAUUAAAGAUUUUCAAAUGUAGCCAUACUGGGUUUGACAGGUAAGGUUUUAAUCAACUUCAGGUGGCCACUUUUAAGUGCUCCCUGGACUGGAGCCGCAAAGUUGGCGUCACCCACGCUCCCAACGUGGUUCUAAUUUAAAUGGCUAAUUUUGACACGGAGAAAAGAUGAGAGGCCACGGGGCCCCACUGCUUCGGUGGGCGUGAUUUCUAAAUUAGGAUUAAUGCAGCAAGCUGAAGCAUGGUCGCAGGUUUAUUUUAUGGAGGUUGGAGCAAGUAAAUAACAUUUAUCCUUUGUAUACAUCUGCAUAUAAUUACAGCAAAGUUUUCUUGUGUGUUAAAUUAUACAAACUCUUCAAAAGUGGGUGCCUAAUGUCUUUUUCUAAAGCUGUGUUAUUAUUUUGGUCAAAAGUUGUUUACAUUAAACAAAUUCAAUUUACUAAACUUUGACAUGUUUGCACAACUGCAUAUAAUUUAUGCUGGAAGCCUGAAGCAUGACUUUCAAGUGAACUUUCUUGGUUCAAACUUGAUAGAUUAGGCAUUCAAUGUUGAGGGGUGGUGGCUUGCUCCAUCCAGGUUUUGUGGCCAAUUGAACUGAUUUGGUUUUCCUCUCUCAGAAUAUUUUAAUCAUUGGGUAAAUGUGUAUCGAGUAUCCACUGUGGUCCAAAUAUUAAUGCUGGGUCCUGAGGAUAUAAUGGUGUGCAAAAAAAGAUACAGUCCCAGGCUCAAGGAGUUCAAGGAUUAUUUAAGGAAACAGAGAAGCAAAAUAACUUGUGAAGACAGUCUUUAAAUCGCAAAGACAACAAGAAAGUAGCAUCCAUGCUGCUUUGAGGAUUCAUAAACUAGCAGGAUCUGUCUGAGCUUGGGGGAAUGCUGGCCCAGGGAAGUGAUAGCAUGAGCUGAGAACGGGAAAGACAAAGACAAAGUAAAAGGUUAACUUUGGUGGGAUGGAGAAUGUUACCUAGAAGGGACCAAAAAGGUAAGUGGGAGUCUGCAACAGGUACCCUUGUCUGUGAGGUAGCUGGAAAGGGGGUAGUAGGGCCAGGCUCCCCCCCAGGGCAUAGCUUAUUUUAGGAAUACUGUCUUUAUCCAAAUAGCAGGACUAAGUGCAAGGUUUGAAGCAGGGAGCUCAACUUUUUGUUUGUAUUUUGCAAAGAUCUAUUGAAGGGCAGAGUAGAUGGCAGGUCUGAUGGAGUUGGGCUAGUUCAGAGGCUUUAUAGUAAUUUAGAAUUUUUUUUUAUCUGCCCAUAGCUUUUAUUUUAUUUUUUAAUUGAUUUUUUAAAAAAAUAAAUGACAGCGGAAUACAUUACAAUUCUUAUUACACAUAUACGGCACAAUUUUUCAUAUCUCUGUUUAUAUAUAAAGUAUGUUGACGCCAAAUUGUGUCUUCAUACGAGUACUUUGGAUAAUGAUGUCCAUCACAUUCCACCAUCUUUGCUAACCCCCUGCCCCCUCUCUUUCCCUCCCACCCCUCUGCCCUAUCUAGAAACAAAACCCACCCUCCUGAAGUGGUUUGACCUAGGGUGAUGGUAGUACAGAAUGACAGUGGAUAGCUUUGAGGGAUGGUGAGGGGGUGAUGUUGAUGGGAUGUUGAGACAGACUGGUCGACUCCGGUUUCUGACUUGUAAAGCUAUAGGGACCUAGAACCAUCCACUGAGAGCUCAGAGUCUGUUAUGGUUUAGAUGUGAGGUGUGCCCCAGAAAGCUCACAUGUGAGACAAUGCAAGAAGAUCUGGAGGAGAAAUGAUUGGGUUAUAUCCUUAGCAUAAUCAGUGAGCUAAUCCCUGAUAACUGAAGUGGUAGGGUGUGACUGGAGGAGGUGGCAAUUGGGGCGUGGCUUUGGUGUAUAUAUUUGUAUCUGGCAAGUGGAGUCUCUGCUUCCUGAUCACAGUGUUGUGAGCUGCUUCCCUCUGCUCUGCCAUCUUGUCCCGCUAUGGUGUUCAGCCUCAUCUUGAGCCCUGAGAAAACUGUGAGCCCUCAAAUAAACUCUUCCUCCUCUAUAA
rnacentral:lncRNA from 1 species